ensembl:lncRNA
CUGAGCAUCUAGCACCCCAAGGCUUUUUCAGACACAGCUGCCUCUACUCCAGCUCUCUCUGCCCACACCUUCCUCUGAAGCACCAGCAGCUAAUCUUUACAGGCUGGACUUUCCUGGGCCUUGAUGCAGGUUUGGUCCUGGGACCAGCUUUACACUGGAGGAGGAGCCAGAGUAGAGCCACCUUCCCUCCUUCUCCUCCUUCACAGGUGUUGCGUACACACCUCAGUCUAAGGUCCCUAAGAAAGGCUUUGGUCAUGGUCAGACUAUAAAUGCUGACGUGGGAAAUGCCUUAUUUGUAGUGCUGAGGAAAACUACUGCAAACUGGCGGAAUGGCUGCUAACCAGUGACCCACAGCAAUGUCCCUCUGAGCUCCCCAAUCCUUCGAUUUUGCUAUAUAUGGAUCGACAAAGAUCUUUUAUUUGCUGUGAAUUGAUUCUCCCUUAAGUGAGCCUCUUUGCUACCAAGGUGAAGCUAAUAAUUACAGAGUCAGUGUGGGAGGAGCUGAGUUCCUCAACACAGGCUGACCCAUGUCCUUUCCUUUUCUGCCACAGUGGAAAGGCUUCAGCACUUCCUGCACAUGGUCUUUUGAAGGCUUGAACCACCGGUGGCUUUUUGGUUACCUCUAGUCCCCCGUCCUCAUUUAUCCACAUUAGCAGUAGGGCUAGAUCUUCUGUUUGCCAGACACUUGCUGGGACCAGUUUACUUGUUGUGUCCAGUUUGUUCUUGCCUUCCUUGGAGAAGCCUGUUGUGUACUUGGCCAUUUACCUACUUUGCAUUUGGAACCAUGAUAUGAUGUGGCCCAUGGAGCCACUAGCAAGUGAUGCUGUUCAGGGUUACAGCACAGAAAUCACAGGGGAGUUAAAAUUGCACAGGUCUGGAGAUCUGGAGAUCACCUCAGAACUUGUCUCUAUGGGGCUGUGUUCGAAUUUGUGACUCAGCUUCUGCUGAAGGUUUCCAUCUUAGGGUUGGUCAGAGAGCAAAAACUUUUCCAUCCUGAUCACAUGGGUUUAAAUGUGAGCCUGAACCACAUGGAGAAGCCUGACUCCAGUCAUGUAGCCUUCCUUGCAUCCCUCCUUGCCAUGUGUGGUGGCUGGGCAUUCCCAAGAGUCCUCUAGCAGUAGAUGGGCUUUAACCAUUUUUAGGGCCUUAGUGAGUGUGACAGAUGGAGGGCCAGACUGCUUAACUGCUGGGGAUUAACUCAUCCGUAGAGUGGGCCUUAGUUAGGAGAAAGAUGCAAAUUGGGAAACCCAGACAGCAUCUUCACAUCUCCAACUCUAGCUGUGCAAAUCAAUCCCUUCAGAUAUCCUUUCCCGUACCCUCAGUACCAUGGGCCCUGCUCAUAUUUGUUGGCAAAUACAUCGCAUAUAAUGCUUUCAAGCCUGUCUCAUUCAGAACAUGGUAAAUAUUUACAUUUUUAAAUGGGUUUUAAUUGCGGGGUUUCACUUUUUUUUUUCCUGUUAAGAAGAACUGGGGAUACCUGUAUCUGAUGUGAGGUUUUAAUCUGGAAUGUGCAGCAGAGGGGGAUCUUUCAUAUCAUUCAGCCUGGAUUAUCAGGGAGUUAUCAGGGAGUCUGAAGUGUCUUCACAGAACGCUGCAAAGCACAGUUUGAUCCAUGGGGCUAACACACUGUGGAGUCAGCCCGAGUCACCUGGCAGAGGCAUGACACAGGUCCUCCAGCUCCCCACACCACACAGUAGCUGCAUCCAGCUCAGGGCUGUGUUUUCAGAGACCACUCAACAGACACGAUUUGCUUGUGCUACCUCUCCUCCUGUUCAAGUUUUGUACCACCUCUAUGGCGGUUACAGCAUGGGAAAGUAAAAGAAACUACUG